rnacentral:rRNA from 1 species
GUACACGCUGUGACUAGCAUAUCAAUAAGCGGAGGAAAAGAAACUAACAAGGAUUCCCCUAGUAACGGCGAGUGAAGCGGGAAGAGCUCCAAAUUUGAAAUCUUAAAGGGUUUCCCUUUACGAAUUGUAGUUUAAAGAAGUGUUUUCUGUUGAGGUUUUGGUAAAAGUUCUUUGGAAUAGGACAUCAUAGAGGGUGAGAAUCCCGUAUUUGACCUUUACUUUCAACUUUGUGAUACACCUUCAAAGAGUCGGAUUGUUUGGGAAUGCAGUCCAAAAUGGGUGGUAAAUUUCAUCUAAAGCUAAAUAUUGGCGAGAGACCGAUAGCGAACAAGUACCGUGAGGGAAAGAUGAAAAGAACUUUGAAAAGAGAGUUAAACAGUACGUGAAAUUGUCAAAAGGGAAGCGUUUGACACCAGUGUUGUUUUUCUGAAAAUCAAUUAAAGAACUGUUUAUGCUAAGUUGUUUAGACUUUAUCAGCUAUCUGUUUAGUUUUGAGCUUUUCUUUAAUGCACUUUUCAGUUAACAAGUCAACAUCAAUUUCUUUUGCUGUAAAAAAGCUUGAGGAAGGUGGCUUGAGAUUCGUCUUAAGUGUUUAUAGCCUCUUGCCUAUGCAGUCGGAGAGAUUGAGGUCUGCAGCGUAGAUCCUUCGGGGCUAAAUGCAUUUGUGCUAAGUUAUAGCAUUUUAUAGACAACUUGUUGACUAUGAUUUGUCUUGUAGCUUACUCGCUUAUGUUAUUUUACCUACGCUUAGGAUGUUGAGUCGUAGAGCACGCAG